rnacentral:lncRNA from 1 species
CCUCUUUGCGAUGGAAACACCUGUCAGUUUGGAUGCAGAAGACAUCAGAAACGAAAAGGUUAUUGUUACUUGCAUGAAUGUGGGAUUUUAGAAAGUUAUUUGUUUUCUUUAUUCUUAAUUAAAUAUUAUUGCUUACUGAUUGCAGGUCAAAGUUUUACGAUCGAUGAGGCCUUUACAACUGGAAGAUGUUGUUGUUGGGCAGUACAAGAGUCACGCAAAAGGAGGGGUUACUUACCCAGCAUACACUGAUGACAACACCGUGCCAAAAGGCAGCUUAACUCCAACAUUUGCUGCAGCCGCUCUCUUCAUAGACAACGCAAGAUGGGAUGGAGUGCCUUUUCUAAUGAAAGCUGGCAAAGCAUUACAUAAUAAGAGGUGAGCAUUACAUACUACACUGAUAACAAAAUGUAACAGGUUGUUAGAUGCAUGCAACUAACCUGUUCUCUCAGGACCGGGUAAUAGGUUAUAUAAUACAUGCAAUUUACUUAUUUUUUUCAGUGCCG